AGCAGGAGGAUUUGAAGCCGGUCCCCGCUCCCCCUACGGAACAACAGCCGCUCUUGCCUCGCUCAGAGGAACUGAGCUAUUAUUGUAGUGUCCCGUAGAAUUUCCCAGCCUUCUUCCUCUGGUUCUGAGUCUGCUUCUCCACGUGGCACCUUGGAGUUUCUAGCUGGCACCAUUACCUCC